rnacentral:rRNA from 1 species
GUCCAGACUCCUACGGGAGGCAGCAGUGGGGGAUACUGCACAAGGGGGGAAACCCUGAUGCAGCGACGCCGCGUGGGUGAAGAAGCGCCUCGGCGCGUAAAGCCCUGUCAGCAGGGAAGAAAAUGACGGUACCUGAAUAAGAAGCCCCGGCUAACUACGUGCCAGCAGCCGCGGUAAUACGUAGGGGGCAAGCGUUAUCCGGAAUUACUGGGUGUAAAGGGUGAGUAGGCGGCAUGGUAAGCCAGAUGUGAAAGCCUUGGGCUUAACCCAAGGAUUGCAUUUGGAACUAUCAAGCUAGAGUACAGGAGAGGAAAGCGGAAUUCCUAGUGUAGCGGUGAAAUGCGUAGAUAUCAGGAGGAACACCGGUGGCGAAGGCGGCCUGCUGGACUGCGACUGACGUUGAGGCCCGAAAGCGUGGGGAGCAAACAGGAUUAGAUACCCGGGUACG